AAUGGGGGAAACCCUGAUCCAGCGAUGCCGCGUGAAUGAUGAAGGCCUAUGGGUUGUAAAGUUCUUUCGUCUGUGAAGAUAAUGACGGUAACAGAAAAAGAAGCCCCGGCUAACUCCGUGCCAGCAGCCGCGGUAAGACGGAGGGGGCAAGCGUUGCUCGGAAUAACUGGGCGUAAAGGGUGCGUAGGCGGUUUUUUAAGUGAAAUGUUAAAAAUUUGGGCUCAACCUAAGGAGUGCAUUUCAUACUGAAAGACUUGAGUGUGAGAGAGGAAACAGGAAUUCCUCAUGUAGAGGUGAAAUUCGUAGAUAUGAGGAGGAACACCAGAGGCGAAGGCGAGUUUCUGGAUCACUACUGACGCUGAGGCACGAAAGCGUGGGGAGCAAA
rnacentral:rRNA from 1 species